AUUGAACGCUGGCGGCAGGCCUAACACAUGCAAGUCGAGCGGGGACUUCGGUCCUAGCGGCGAACGGGUGAGUAAUGCUUGGGAAUCUGCCCAGUAGUGGGGGAUAACGUCCCGAAAGGGACGCUAAUACCGCAUACGUCCUACGGGAGAAAGAGGGGGAUCUUCGGACCUCUCGCUAUUGGAUGAGCCCAAGUCGGAUUAGCUAGUUGGUAGGGUAAUGGCCUACCAAGGCGACGAUCCGUAGCUGGUCUGAGAGGAUGAUCAGCCACACUGGAACUGAGACCGGGCCACGCCCCCUCGGGGGGGCGCCGGGGGGAAAUUUUGAAGAGGGGGAGAAAGUCGAAACAAGCCAUCCGGGGGGUGAAAGGAGGGCCUCCGGUUUGAAAAGCACUUAAGGGGGGGAGGAGGGUUCGGGCCCUAUUACGUCGGGAAAUGGAGUUACCCAGAAAAAAAAGCACCGCCAAAGUCGGCG
rnacentral:rRNA from 1 species